CGUUCACCUUUGCCCGCCCCGAGCGGUAUUAGCCAAUAAAAGACCGGUAUCCCAUCCCGGGCCAAUCGCUGAACGAGGCCGCACCCCGCGCCUUCCGGACCAAUCGCAAAUAAGCCUCGCGCCACAGCACGCAGGACUCUUGAUGACGUUCCGCCCUGUUUCCCCGCCUUUCUGCGCCGGCCUCUGCGUCGCCGUCGCCGCGCUCCUAUUCACCAAGCCGGGCAGAGCACCGACCAAUCGCAGGCCAGCGUUUCGGGGGCACAUCCCUGUCGCCCCGCCUCCCGUGCCGAAAUGGCCAAUCUUGACGACAGUCUUCACCGUGCUCUCUCGUCUAGCUAGCCUCCAGAUUUCCAGACUCUCCCGGAAUUCCUGAGAAGGGGUCCAGCCUGUAGCCCUGACAGCGGGCGGGCGGAAGUCCACUCCCGCCAAGAUCUGCGAGCGUGGGGGCGGGGCUACAGAUCUGCGGCGCGCAGCGCAGUGGGAGCCUGGUUUCGACCUUGACCUUGGUGCUGACUUCAGCGGGCCGUGUGACCUCAGUUCCAGAAUAAUAGGGAAAAUGUGAAUUUCAGCGGAACCUGUGCUUUACCUACAGGAGCAGGGUAUCACCAACUGUGGCCCGUGGGCCAAGUCCUGUCACUGCCUGUUUUUGUGACUCCCACGAGCUAAGCAUAUUUCUUACAUUUUUUUAAAAGGUUGGGGGGAUCAAAAUAAUAUUCUAUGACGUGAAAAUUGUAUGAAAUUCAAAUAGUAUGCAUAAAUAAAGCUUUACUGGAACACAGCCAUGCCCACUUGUUUCGGUAUUGUCUAUUCCCUGGUUGCGAUGAGUAGUCGCGACAAAGACUGUAUGACCUGCAAAAACUAAACUAUUUACUAUAUGGCCCUUUACAAAAAAAAAAAAUUGCCCUGUGUUACAGGACACCCCUUAGGGUUUUCUGAUUCUAAUUCCAUGGGAGAUAUUUUAUAAAUUCUGUAGUCAUAAUUGAUCAAAAAAAUUUUGCCUAUAGACAUGCAAAUGAAUUCUGCCAGAGACACUCCCCC
rnacentral:lncRNA from 1 species